AUGAGGAAAGCCUGGGUCAUCCAAGGGAGGAAAAUUGCCCAAAACGUAGUGGAGAACUGCCUUUUCUGCAAAAAGUCAAGAGCAAGAAGGUGCAAACAGGUAAUGGCUGACCUACCUCCUGAAAGAACCACACCUGCAGCUCCAUUCGAGUUCACUGCAGUCGACCUCUUUGGACCGUACCUUGUCAAAGAUGACAUCAAGAAACGCGUCUCCACGAAAGUGUGGGGUGUCGUCUUCAGUUGUAUGAUCAGCAGGGCAAUUCAUGCAGACCUGGUCAACACCAUGUUGACAGAGAGCUUCUUGAUGGCUUACCAACACUUUACUGCAAUAAGAGGGCACUCAAGAAAGAUCUGGUCCGACCCGGGGACAAACUUCAUCUGCGCCCAACCUGUCCUAAGAGAGCUGUACCAGUUUCUGGAUGCUCAGAAUCGAACUUCAAUAGAAGAGAUAUCGGCUCAAAAAGGUACCAAAUGGGAGCGUACAAUUCACCCUGCUGACUCACCUCACCGCAAUGGGGCUGCUGAAGCCACUGGCCGCAUUCUCAAGAAGGCACUGCAGAGCCUGGGCAACAACACUGGCCUCAGCUAUAGCGAGCUUCAGACAACACUACAACUUGCUGCAAACCUUGCCAACAAAUGUCCAAUAGAUGCCAGGGUGCAGAGCCAUGAAGAAAGUGUGCAGUAUGUGUCACCCAACACACUUCUCCUGGGCCGAGCCUCUUCGAGUGGUGAGAUCAGAACAUUUGACUUUGCAAACUACCCUUACAAGAGACUUGGAGAGAUGCAGAACCAGGUCAACAAGUUCUGGAGGUCUUGGAGCCAGCUUGCCGGCCCAAACUUAUUUCUGAGAAGUAAAUGGCACACUUCGCAUCGCAAUGUUGCUGUCGGAGAUAUUGUCUGGUUGUGCGACCAAAAUGCAGUGAGGGGCCAAUUCAAGCUAGGACGGGUCGUGAGAGUCAAUCCAGAUGCUAAGGGCAUUGUUCGAGACAUGAUCGUCAAAGUGGUCCAAAGCUCCUGCCUUCCUGUCACAAAACCUGCACUAAACCGUCCAUCAGUUAAAGUCCUGAAAGAAGCUUUCCAAACCACAGUCCUGCACAGAGAUGUUCGACGCCUGGUUGUCUUGCUACCAGUUGAGGACCAAACUCGGAGCUGA
rnacentral:lncRNA from 1 species